rnacentral:rRNA from 1 species
GUGAGGAAUAUUGGACAAUGGGCGCAAGCCUGAUCCAGCCAUGCCGCGUGCAGGAAGACGGCCCUAUGGGUUGUAAACUGCUUUUAUACGGGAGCAAUAAGGUCUAUGCAUAGAUUGAUGAGAGUACCGUAUGAAUAAGCAUCGGCUAACUCCGUGCCAGCAGCCGCGGUAAUACGGAGGAUGCGAGCGUUAUCCGGAUUUAUUGGGUUUAAAGGGUGCGUAGGCGGCUUUGUAAGUCAGCGGUGAAAUUUUGCAGCUUAACUGUAAAAGCGCCGUUGAUACUGUGAAGCUAGGAUUUGGUUGCUGUGGGCGGAAUGUGUGGUGUAGCGGUGAAAUGCAUAGAGAUCACACAGAAUAUCGAUUGCGAAGGCAGCUCACAAAGCCAAUAUUGACGCUGAGGCACGAAAGUGUGGGGAUCAAACAGGAUUAGAAACCCCUGUAGUCC